GUGGGGAAUAUUGCACAAUGGGCGAAAGCCUGAUGCAGCGACGCCGCGUGAGCGAAGAAGUAUUUCGGUAUGUAAAGCUCUAUCAGCAGGGAAGAUAAUGACGGUACCUGACUAAGAAGCACCGGCUAAAUACGUGCCAGCAGCCGCGGUAAUACGUAUGGUGCAAGCGUUAUCCGGAUUUACUGGGUGUAAAGGGAGCCCAGGCGGUUCGGCAAGUCGGAUGUGAAAGCCCGGGGCUCAACCCCGGUACUGCAUUGGAAACUGUCGUACUCGAGUGUCGGAGGGGUAAGCGGAAUUCCUAGUGUAGCGGUGAAAUGCGUAGAUAUUAGGAAGAACACCAGUGGCGAAGGCGGCUUACUGGACGGUAACUGACGUUGAGGCUCGAAAGCGUGGGGAGCAAACAGGAUUAGAAACCCGAGUAGUCC
rnacentral:rRNA from 1 species